rnacentral:lncRNA from 1 species
AGAGAGAGAACGAGACCUUUAAUGUCAAUUUGGAGAAGUAGCUAGUCUUGGUAUGAAGUAAAAGCCCAGUCACGUCACAGGGUCAGAAAAAUAAACCCCUAAAAAAGGAAAAGGAUUCUGGCUACCCUAGCUAGCUCUACGCCAAUUCCAAAACAAUUAAAUAAUAACGUAAGAGUCAGCAACGUUGUUGUUGUGAUCCUUCGCUCUUAUCAUGAAGAUGUCUUGUGUUUCACGACCGAUAAAAUUAUUAUUAUAGGAAUCAGUAGUAGCUAAGUUAAGUUCCUUAUCACUCCAAGUACCUCACUAAUGUCCUCAUUACAAGAUAAAGGAAAUGAAUGUGACUUUUGGAGGGGAGUCCUCAUAAUGAUACCUUAUGGCGGCACUCAAAUCAAAAUCGUCCCCAGGAUGGGAUCAAUUGGGCAAUAUAUGGCCCAAUUAUAGGAAUAAGCAUUUUCAUAGUCCUCCUGGUCAUAUUCCUUGUUAUCUUCCUGCUUUUUAUCAAGAACAAACGAAAGAAUGAGGGUAAUUAUAACCCUCGUCAAACAGAGAUCCUGAAUAAAAAUAAGCUCCCCUCUCCGAUUAAUAUGCCUAAUCCUGAAAGACUAAUAUAAUGAAAUGAAUUAAAAUGAGUUACUUACCCCUUUUUCCAAAGACAAGUGAGGUUUCGAAUGGAACUAAUAACAGAAUGAAUAGUGAGGACAGAGCCUCUUGAAUGAAGUAAUUGAGGAGAUUCUUAUUCUUCAUCGCUCCUUCUUCCCCUGUACGGAUAUAUGAAAUUUUCAGAAGUGUCUUAUAUGUUAACUGCUGAUCUUAAUCAAUGAAUGUUUUUUUAACGUCGUCUAGUCCCUUUUGUUUUAUUAUAAAUUUCACAUUAUUUACAAUCUUUGUAGAUAAUUAAUUUAAUAUUAUUUUACUGUUUUUGAUCUAUAAAUAUAUAUUUAUAUGUUUUUAAGAAACUCAAAUGAUGCUUUUUUAGUAGGAGUAAUAAAAUGUAUGAAUAUUAA